GACGAACGCUGGCGGCGUGCCUAAUACAUGCAAGUUGAGCGAUGAAGAUUGGUGCUUGCACCAAUUUGAAGAGCAGCGAACGGGUGAGUAACGCGUGGGGAAUCUGCCUUUGAGCGGGGGACAACAUUUGGAAACGAAUGCUAAUACCGCAUAAUAACUUUAAACAUAAGUUUUAAGUUUGAAAGAUGCAAUUGCAUCACUCAAAGAUGAUCCCGCGUUGUAUUAGCUAGUUGGUGAGGUAAAGGCUCACCAAGGCGAUGAUACAUAGCCGACCUGAGAGGGUGAUCGGCCACAUUGGGACUGAGACACGGCCCAAACUCCUACGGGAGGCAGCAGUAGGGAAUCUUCGGCAAUGGACGAAAGUCUGACCGAGCAACGCCGCGUGAGUGAAGAAGGUUUUCGGAUCGUAAAACUCUGUUGGUAGAGAAGAACGUUAGUGAGAGUGGAAAGCUCAUCAAGUGACGGUAACUACCCAGAAAGGGACGGCUAACUACGUG
rnacentral:rRNA from 1 species